rnacentral:tRNA from 1 species
AAGUGGUGGAUUGUAGCUCCAUGUACAGAGGUUUAAGUCCUCUUCAUAU